CUACGGGAGGCAGCAGUGGGGAAUCUUGGACAAUGGGCGCAAGCCUGAUCCAGCCAUGCCGCNUGAGUGAUGAAGGCCCUAGGGUCGUAAAGCUCUUUCGCCAGAGAUGAUAAUGACAGUAUCUGGUAAAGAAACCCCGGCUAACUCCGUGCCAGCAGCCGCGGUAAUACGGAGGGGGUAAGCGUUGUUCGGAAUUACUGGGCGUAAAGCGCGCGUAGGCGGACCAGAAAGUAAGGGGUGAAAUCCCAGGGCUCAACCCUGGAACUGCCUCUUAAACUCCUGGUCUUGAGUUCGAGAGAGGUGAGUGGAAUUCCGAGUGUAGAGGUGAAAUUCGUAGAUAUUCGGAGGAACACCAGUGGCGAAGGCGGCUCACUGGCUCGAUACUGACGCUGAGGUGCGAAAGUGUGGGGAGCAAACAGGAUUAGAUACCCUGGUAGUCCACACCGUAAACGAUGAAUGCCAGUCGUCGGGUAGCAUGCUAUUCGGUGACACACCUAACGGAUAAGCNUCCGC
rnacentral:rRNA from 1 species